AAUGCAUACUCUUAAAUGUAACAUGUUCCACAUUUAUUUUCUUUAGAAUGAAGCCAAUCAUAAACAUCCGACCACAUUUUCUUGAUAAAUCUACAGCUGCAGAACAGAUGUUCAGAUGUCUCUAUAUCAGAUUCACAGAAAUCACUGUUGUUUAAAUCUGUAAGUUACAGUUAAAUUGGAGUCUCAUGUAUUCCUUGAGUCGAUAUGGAGAUACUUCUCAAUUUUAUUGAACUUGAGAUCUAUAACCUGACAUGUUCUUGUUCACCAGAUUGAAGCUGAAUAUAAUUGCAUUGACCUUUACAAGCAUUCACUGCUAGUAGGUCAAAACUGUGAGGAAAUCUUGUUCACUGUUUGACCAAACUCAGAAACAAAGUUAUUUGCUCUAAAAGUCUUCUGAUUUAUCUUCUUCUUCUUCCCGAUUCAAUGACAGGCUGCAACCAACGAAAGGCGCAUUACUGCCACCUGCUGGAGUCAUUAAUGUUUAAUGAGCACCACGAACACCCCGUUGGUUGAUGUCCACCAUCUUGUCUGCAGCUAGGUCCCUCUCUAGAUACUUGACUGGAUUAGGUGCAAGCUGCUGCAAUCAUGAGGUUUCUCUGUGGAUCAGCAGGUGGCCGGACUGACCGGGUGGCUCUAAUUGGGGGAGAGCAGCAGGAUUCCCCCUCCUGCAAAGUCAUGGCCUUCCCUGGUGGUUGGCUGCACACUAGCAUGCUAUUCAUUACCCUGAACAAACCCUGAAGAGGAGCAGGAGGCUCUCUGGCUGCUUGGCCACUGCUGAACAAAUAUCAGACCAACAAUGGAAGACGGGGAGGCAGUAGCAACAAGAGUCUGGAACCAUAAAGAAUCGACCGUGGGAUAAUGAACCUGGAUGACACACCUGCAGCUGGGGGGGCAACGCCAAGGACGUCUGACAACAUCCUCCUCUCCCACAUCUCAUUAUGACCAGCGAAUGGUCAGGGAUAGUGAUUACGGGCGGGCGUUGAAGCAGAGCAGAAGGGGGAAUUACGCGAUAGAGCUGAUUCCACCGACACCAACUCAACAGUGGUGCUGGAAGGCCAAGAGGGUGCUAAUCAAAACACUGUUAGAAGCUGGUUCACACUGCGUCUGUGACCUGUAGUUGUUAAACUGGCAAUGACGUCGUGAUAUUCAUCUAUCUUGAAUUAUAACAGCAGAUGAAGUUUGGUUCAGAAAAAACGUUACUUUCCAGCAAGAGACAUUUAAAAACAAAUAAUGUGUCUUUUGCAUUUGAAUCUAAUAAAGACAAUAAAUGUUACUGUGUCACAUUGAUUCUUUAUUGAUCCCUGCAAUACUGCUCACAGUGAAGACGGGAGCGCAGCAGUGGAGAUUCUUGCCUACUCAGGCU